GUUAGGAUAUUAAAUGAUGCAGCGCACAUGAACAUUUUUAAACAUAUUAAGUCGUGUAUUCUUUCUAUACGUGAAGUCAGCUGCAGGUUAUCUGGUGAAAGUGCGUGUUCUAUCUUUUUUCUUUGUGUUAUGGAUAGUUUUCUUCGACGAUUUGAUGCAUAAAAGUAGUCUGAACUUAACAGGCCUGUCCGGUCCAUCUGUCCACGCUGUUCCCGCAGUUUCAGUUCCCAAGGUGGAGUCAGCUGCAGAUCAUUUGAUGAAAAUUAGUUUUCUUUGUGUUAUCUUUUCUUCGACCUUUUGAUGCAUAAAACUAGUUUGAACUUCACAGGCCUAUUGAGUCCACGUUGUUCCUAUUGCAGUUCCUAAGGAUCUCUGCUGAGCAAGUUGAAAGUUACAGUUACAAAAAUUGGGACAACUUCCAGGUAUGUGCUGAAUUUCAGCGCAUUACCAACCAGAAUUUAACAAACACAUUUUACGCAGAGCUAGACCGCCACAGUUUUCGCCUGAUGACUUUAUAUCGACAGAGAGCAGCGAAGACUGGAAAAACUGCUGAUGCACUUUUAUGACUUAAAGAGGAAGACAUUUGGAAGAAUGCUGGUAGUCAAUGGGGUCCAAUAAUUGUUUGGUUAUAAACAUUCUUCUCAAUAUCAUCAUGUGUUCAUCAGAACAAAGACAUUUAUACAGAUUUGGAACAACUUAAAGGAUCAACAUGAUGUACACACAAGGCGAACAACAGCGCUCUGUGCACUUCCUGUGUAUCUGAGAGAAGACACCUCAAAAUUCUUUAAAAUAUGCACGAUUGAAGAUGAUUCAGAAGAGCCAGAUGUUGAUUCAUCAGUUGCCCUUUUGACAGUCAUCCGAGAACUCCCAGACAUUGCAGUUCGGUACAAUACAGAGAAGAUUUUGAUCAUCCUUGAGAAUGGAGUUGUCAUAACAAACCUUCAGAGACUCUGAUGCUUUCCUUUUGAUGUUUGGCUUAAUCUAUGCAUUGGAUCUCUCAUAUCCAAAAGAGAUGGCCAACACGUUUGAGUUUAUUUAGAAGGUUCUUUUGGGUCUUGAUGAUGGCAAACUUAAGCCAAGGGUGCUGGCUCUAAAGAAUGACUUGCUGAUUCAUGCCAGGUAUGCCUUUUUUUGUUGCACAGAACUGUGGUCACAGUUUUUGUUGGCAUAAUGGCUGUUAAGGUAAUAUUUUAAUGUAAUUUAUUUGAGCUGGUGUGCCUUUUUAUUGCACAGAACUGUUUUAAUGUCUCAUGUUUUAUAAUAAAUUUUUGUACUUUGUUUAA